rnacentral:rRNA from 1 species
AGAGUUUGAUCAUGGCUCAGGACGAACGCUGGCGGCGUGCCUAACACAUGCAAGUCGAACGGGUUCCAUCUUGUGGCAACACUUGAGAAGAACUAGUGGCGAACGGGUGAGUAACACGUGAAGAACCUGCCCCGAAGACCGGGAUAAGCCGAGGAAACUUGGUCUAAUACCGGAUACCCCCAUCAGAUCGCAUGUUCAGAUGAGGAAAUGGAUUCCGCUUUGGGAGGGCUUCGCGGCCUAUCAGCUAGUUGGUGAGGUAACGGCUCACCAAGGCAUCGACGGGUAGCUGGUCUGAGAGGACGAUCAGCCACACUGGGACUGAGACACGGCCCAGACUCCUACGGGAGGCAGCAGUGGGGAAUCUUGCGCAAUGGGGGAAACCCUGACGCAGCAACGCCGCGUGCGGGACGAAGGCUCUCGGGUCGUAAACCGCUUUCAGGAGGGAAGAAAAUGACGGUACCUCCAGAAGAG